ACUGCUCAGUAACACGUGGAUAACCCGCCCUUGGGUCCGGCAUAACCCCGGGAAACUGGGGAUAAUUCCGGAUAACGCAUAUGUGCUGGAAUGCUUUAUGCGUCAAAUGGAUUCGUCCGCCCAAGGAUGGGUCUGCGGCCUAUCAGGUAGUAGUGGGUGUAAUGUACCUACUAGCCAGCGACGGGUACGGGUUGUGAGAGCAAGAGCCCGGAGAUGGAUUCUGAGACAUGAAUCCAGGCCCUACGGGGCGCAGCAGGCGCGAAAACUUUACAAUGCGGGAAACCGUGAUAAGGGGACACCGAGUGUCAGCAUCAUAUGCUGGCUGUCCAGGUGUGUAAAAUACACCUGUUAGCAAGGGCCGGGCAAGACCGGUGCCAGCCGCCGCGGUAACACCGGCGGCCCGAGUGGUGAUCGUGAUUAUUGGGUCUAAAGGGUCCGUAGCCGGUUUGGUCAGUCCUCCGGGAAAUCUGAUAGCUCAACUAUUAGGCUAUCGGGGGAUACUACCAGGCUUGGAACCGGGAGAGGUAAGAGGUACUACAGGGGUAGGAGUGAAAUCUUGUAAUCCCUGUGGGACCACCUGUGGCGAAGGCGUCUUACCAGAACGGGUUCGACGGUGAGGGACGAAAGCUGGGGGCACGAACCGGAUUAGAUACCCGGGUAGUCCCAGCCGUAAACGAUGCUCGCUAGGUGUCAGGCAUGGCGCGACCGUGUCUGGUGCCGCAGGGAAGCCGUGAAGCGAGCCACCUGGGAAGUACGGUCGCAAGGCUGAAACUUAAAGGAAUUGGCGGGGGAGA
rnacentral:rRNA from 1 species